AAUACCUCUCAAGCAGAUUUGCUUGGUCUUGGAAGAUGAGUUUGCUUGCAUUCUCCCUUCUGAAAUUCAAAGGCGGAUGAUCUCAUAUCCCCAGGCGUAGUAAGAUUAUCUUUUCGCAUGGUGUGUGAGAUAGUCCAGCCGUCGACCCCCAUACUUCUAA
rnacentral:misc_RNA from 1 species